GUGCUUGCUUUGGCAGCACACAUACUAAAAUGGGAAUGGGACACAGAGGAUGCUAUAGCAUGGCCCCUGCUCUCGGAUGACACGCAAAUUCGUGAUGCAUUCCAUAGUCUU
ensembl:snRNA U6 U6 spliceosomal RNA